CCCCGGAGCGGGGGAUAACAUUUGGAAACAGAUGCUAAUACCGCAUAACAACAAAAGCCACAUGGCUUUUGUUUGAAAGAUGGCUUUGGCUAUCACUCUGGGAUGGACCUGCGGUGCAUUAGCUAGUUGGUAAGGUAACGGCUUACCAAGGCGAUGAUGCAUAGCCGAGUUGAGAGACUGAUCGGCCACAAUGGAACUGAGACACGGUCCAUACUCCUACGGGAGGCAGCAGUAGGGAAUCUUCCACAAUGGGCGCAAGCCUGAUGGAGCAACACCGCGUGAGUGAAGAAGGGUUUCGGCUCGUAAAGCUCUGUUGUUGGAGAAGAACGUGCGUGAGAGUAACUGUUCACGCAGUGACGGUAUCCAACCAGAAAGUCACGGCUAACUACGUGCCAGCAGCCGCGGUAAUACGUAGGUGGCAAGCGUUAUCCGGAUUUAUUGGGCGUAAAGCGAGCGCAGGCGGUUGCUUAGGUCUGAUGUGAAAGCCUUCGGCUUAACCGAAGAAGUGCAUCGGAAACCGGGCGACUUGAGUGCAGAAGAGGACAGUGGAACUCCAUGUGUAGCGGUGGAAUGCGUAGAUAUAUGGAA
rnacentral:rRNA from 1 species